rnacentral:tRNA from 1 species
UUAGCUCAGUGGAUUAGAGCGUCUGCCUCCGGAGCAGAAGGCCACAGGUUCGAAUCCUGCAU